UUAAAGUCAGAAAACUGAAUGGAAAUAAUAAAAUUAAAUGAUAAUUUAUCAGAGUAAAUAUCUACUUUUUAUUUCAUACACCAAAGUUGGAUUGAAUGUGUGCAACAUGGUUCAACUUGAAAUUAAUGCAACUCAAAUUUCUGGUGACUUUAUUUUGUUUCAUCAUAUGGACGGUUGCAGGUGGACUGGUGUUUACAUGGUCCUUGGGAGCUAUGGAAGUGUCUUCAGGUUUGUCCAAAUCCUGCGUAUCUUUGUCAUUUUAUUUAUGAACAUUAUGCAAUUCUUCACCUUCCAGUAUUGUCUUCUUCUUCACAUCUGCGGAUUGCAGUGCCAACUUUUAGGAGCCGGUACCUACCAUACCGGAAUAUGCAGCCUCAAUGGAUGACUUCUUGGAAGAAGAGGAACCUUACACAGAACAACUAAGACAACAUCUUCUCUGUGCUGAAGCUCUGAGAAAAGACACAAAGUGUUUGGGGGAGGAGGAGCAGCAGACUCGAUGGAGACGAGGACAUCAAGAUGAGGAGAGGUGGACCUGAAAAACACUACAGUCUGUACACAGCUGGAAACUGCAACAGUCAAAUGAUAUGAUUUUUCAUAUUUGAAUGAUUGUGUGCCUGUAAUGUGUUUUUUUUUGUGUCUCCAUCCUCCAAAAAAUGCUGGAGGAGCAGCUGGAGAACCACAGGGGGGCUCAUCAGAAGCCGCUCAGUCGCCUCCGGGACGAGAUCGAUGCUGGAUGAACUCACAGAGUAAGGAAACGCCAGUAAAGAAAGAUAUUCUCUCGAUACUUUGAUUAUUGUUUCAGAUUUUGUUUCAUAAAGAUAUUUAUACAGAAUUUUAGCCUUUUUUAUUGAUAGUAGAUGGAACCAGGGGAAUUGCAUUGUAUGUGUCGAAACCACUUGAUGACCUGGACAUGCAUGAUAUAUUUAUUUGUUAUAUUUGUAUUAUUUGUUGUCUUUGUUAGCAAAUUAAUGGACUGGCAGACAGUGAAGGUCUCCAUUU